GUACAUUAAGUAGUGUUCCGCGCGUAUAACUAUUGUAGUACGCUUACGCACGUACGUAGCGACUGAGGGGAUCGGCCAACUGACUGAGACCGUCAGAUCUACGGGAGCAGCAGUAGGAUCUCGCAUUGGCGAAGGCUGACGAGCACGCGCUGAGUGAUGAAGGUCUUCGGAUCGUAAACUCUGUUAUCAGGAAGAACAAACGUGUAAGUACUGUGCACGUCUUGACGGUACUUGAUCAGAAAGCACGGCUAACUACGUGCAGCAGCCGCGGUAAUACGUAGGUGGCAAGCGUUAUCCGGAAUUAUUGGGCGUAAAGCGCGCGUAGGCGGUUUUUUAAGUCUGAUGUGAAAGCCCACGGCUCAACCGUGGAGGGUCAUUGGAAACUGGAAAACUUGAGUGCAGAAGAGGAAAGUGGAAUUUCCAUGUGUAGCGGUGAAAUGCGCAGAGAUAUGGAGGAACACCAGUGGCGAAGGCGACUUUCUGGUCUGUAACUGACGCUGAUGUGCGAAAGCGUGGGGAUCAAACAGGAUUAGAUACCCUGGUAGUGCACGCCGUAAACGAUGAGUGCUAAGUGUUAGGGGGUUUCCGCCCCUUAGUGCUGCAGCUAACGCAUUAAGCACUCCGCCUGGGGAGUACGACCGCAAGGUUGAAACUCAAAGGAAUUGACGGGGACCCGCACAAGCGGUGGAGCAUGUGGUUUAAUUCGAAGCAACGCGAAGAACCUUACCAAAUCUUGACAUCCUUUGACCACUCUAGAGAUAGAGUUUUCCCCUUCGGGGGACAAAGUGACAGGUGGUGCAUGGUUGUCGUCAGCUCGUGUCGUGAGAUGUUGGGUUAAGUCCCGCAACGAGCGCAACCCUUAAGCUUAGUUGCCAUCAUUAAGUUGGGCACUCUAAGUUGACUGCCGGUGACAAACCGGAGGAAGGUGGGGAUGACGUCAAAUCAUCAUGCCCCUUAUGAUUUGGGCUACACACGUGCUACAAUGGACAAUACAAAGGGCAGCUAAACCGCGAGGUCAAGCAAAUCCCAUAAAGUUGUUCUCAGUUCGGAUUGUAGUCUGCAACUCGACUACAUGAAGCUGGAAUCGCUAGUAAUCGUAGAUCAGCAUGCUACGGUGAAUACGUUCCCGGGUCUUGUACACACCGCCCGUCACACCACGAGAGUUUGUAACACCCGAAGCCGGUGGAGUAACCAUUUAUGGAGCUAGCCGUCGAAGGGACCACAGUUG
rnacentral:rRNA from 1 species